AGCUCACAGCUGGCUGCAGCUGCUUUUGGGAGAAGGUGCAGGGGUUGGGGAGAGGUUAGGGCUGUGGGCCCUGCUGGCCUGGCUCUCCCCACUGGGGUCUCCUGCCUUGAUGCGCCUGUCACCUCCCCAGGGAGCUGGCAGUGCAGACUGUUCUCUACUACUUCUCCUACAACUGGGGUAGGCCGCGCCCCAAGGCCACGGGAUGAACAGAGCAUAGGGACAUGAAUGCUCUGCCACUGAAGCUGGUGGUCGGUGCUUGGCCCAGUGCCAGGAUGAGGAUCCAAGGGCAGGAGAGUGCCAGGCACAUUGAUGAAGUUGCCAUGGAAGCUUCAAACAGGAACGUUACCAGCCCGACCCGCAAAGUCCAAGCAAUCAUCCAGAACAGCCCUCUGGACCUAAUAGACAUGGGCAAGGGGCUGAAGGUCCAGACUAACAAGCCACAUCUGGUGAGCUUGGGCAGUGGCCGGCUUAGCACCGCCGUCACCCUCCUGCCCCUAGAAGAGGGGAGGACCAUGAUCGGCUCGGCCGCUAAGGACAUUGUUCUUCAGGGGACUGGGUUGGCCUCUGAGCACUGCUACAUCGAGAAUGUGUGUGGGACCCUCACCCUGCACCCCUGCGGGAAUGUCUGUGUCAUUGAUGGCCUGCAGGUUAAGCAGCCCACUCGCCUGACCCAAGGGUGCAUGAUCUGCCUGGGGCAGUCGACCUUCCUCCGGUUUAAUCAUCCUGCUGAGGCCAAGUGGAUGAAAAGCAUGAUCCCAGCUGGAGAAAGGAGUCCUGGGACCCCAUAUGGACUCGUGGCAGAAUCGGACAGUCUAGUGAAUGGCAACCACCAGCUGUCUCUAAAUGAUGUCCAUAAGGGGCAGAGAGUGAGGCCCCGGCCCAGCCACAGCUCCCUGGUCAGCUCCAUCGAGAAGGACCUGCAAGACAUCAUGGACUCUUUGGUGAUGGAGGACUCGAGCUCUCCCAGGAAAAAGCUCUCUGCCAGUGUCCAGUCCCCUGUGUCCUCAGUGGUGAAUGGUGGUGGGCACUACUUCUUGUCCCCACCCUUGAGCCCUGGGGCCAUGUCUGUGGGCUCCAGCUAUGACAAUGCAUCCCCACCCUUCUCCCCGCUUUCAUCCCCAGCCAGCAGUGGCAGCUACACUAGUCACUCUCCCAGUAGCCAGGAGCAGGGGCCGCCCAUACCCCCAGUGGUGCCAGUGAGAUCUUCCAGCUACAACCAUGCAAUGCAGCCCCCACAGCAGCGGCCACUUCCACCUCCAUGUGGGGGCUCCAGCCUGGACUUGAGGAACAGCACCAUGGACACAAGUGAGACACAAUUUGCAGAGAGUCCCAAGAUGCAGAGGGCAGUGCAUGGCAUUCCCCUGAGCCCCACGCCUGGCCAGAGAGCCCUGCACCCUGAAGGCCCUGGGCUUUCAGCCUUCUCCAGCACCCGGAGAGCUGUUGAGAGCGCACAGCUGGGCCAUCCUAACCAGCACAUGCCCCUGGUGUCUGUAACAGGGAGCCCCCAGGCUCAGCCUACCAGCAGCCCCCGGCUGGCACCCAAAUUUCAGUCACCAUCUGCUCAGAGGUUGAAAAUGGUGGCUCUUCAAGAGCGCCCACCCAGCCCCUUUAGGGAGGGCAGGGAGCCCCCUGGCAUUGACAGGCACCUGGCCUCCAGCCCCUCCCGGCAGGUGUUGGCAAGAGUCUUUCAGCCCCUGGAGACUGCAGGUUUCAUCCACGUCAAUCAGGACAGCCGCUCUCUGCAGCCCCCUGAGAGUCCCAGAAUGAGCAGAAGGAGUGUGGAGAGCAUGAGGGACUUGCCUCCCCUCAGCCCUUCCCUGUCUCGCCGGGCAACCCUGCUGCCCUCUGCCUUGUCUCCCCAAGCAAGGACCCCCCAAGAAAGUCCCUCUCAACAGACCAAGUUGGCCAAGGAGGUUCCUGAGAGCCCUCGCAUCCGGCGCAAGGCAGCCAGGCCCCUGGAGAUGCAUGAAGACUUCUCCUCCUCCUCCUCCUCCUUGACGGGGAAGAAUUUGAGAACCAGAAGCCCCUCACCCAUCUUCCAGGCAGAACUUGCUUCCCAGCAUAAGCCCAGCUUCGGCAUCACCCUCAGCCCUGCAUACAGCCUGGGGUCGCUGGUCGUGCCCUCGCCCCGUCAGAGCCCCCGGGCACAGAGGAAGCUGUCAGGAGAUCUGCGGCUGCCUGUGAGUACGAGGGAGCGCAAAAACAGCAUCACUGAGAUCAGUGACAAUGAGGAUGACCUGCUAGAGUAUCACCGACGCCAGCGCGAGGAGCGACUGCGUGAGCAGGAGAUGGAGCGCCUGGAGCGUCAGCGCCUGGAGACCAUCCUGAACCUGUGCGCGGAAUACACCAGAACUGAUGGCAUCACAGACACAGGCAACUCGCACCAGCACUUCCCGAGUGACGGAGAUGCCACCACCAACAUCCUGACAGCCAGGAGGCACUCCAAGGGCUCAGCCAGCCUGGCUGCCUUGGGCCUUGGCAAGGCCAUAGUGGAGACUGGAGAGGCCACAGGGACCCAGCAGAGGGAGAGUCUGGAGAAAUCAGAUGAGGAGAAUCUGAAGGAGGAAUGUAGCAGCACAGAGAGCACGCACCACGAGCACGAGGACUUAACGGGCUCCAAGACCAAGGAGGCUGCCAUGCUGGAAGAGGAGUGGGUGCGGGUACUGGGCCAUGUGGAUGACCUCAAGAGCCAUGUCAAGGAACUGGAGCAGCAGCUGCAGGAGUCGUCCCAUGAGGCGGAGAUGGAACGGGCACUACUGCAAGGGGAGCAGGAGUCGGAAGUGAUACAGCUGCAGCAGGAACAGAAGAUUGUGCAGCAGAUGCAAGAGAAACUAUGCGAGCUGGACUCCAGCAUCCAGAAGGAGCGGGACAAGGAAAGGGCAAAGGUUGAUGCUGAAAGGAAGGAGCUAGAGAAACUCCAGGCGCUUUACAAUGAGUCGAAGAGCCAGCUUGAUAACUGCCCUGAGUCAAUGCGGGAGCAGUUACAGGACCAGAUGAGAAGGGAGGCAGAGGCCCUGGAGACGGAGACCAAGCUGUUUGAGGACUUGGAGUUUCAGCAGCUGGAAAAGGAGAGUCGCCUGGAGGAGGAGCGUGAGAUCGUGAGCCAGCAGCUCCUGCAGAGCAAGGCUGAUUGCCACCGCAGUAUCGCCAAGAGGAAGGAGCGGGUGGCUGCAUUGGAAAGCCAGGCCAAUCACAUCCGGCUCCAGGCUGCCCAGGAGUCUGAGCGUCUUGCCAAGGAGAAGAAUACCGUGCUCCAGCUGCUGCAGAAGGAGAAAGAGAAGCUCGUCUCCCUGGAGAGACGGUACCAUCUUGUUACCGGCGGCAGAAGCUUCCCCAAAACAUCAUCUGCACUCAGAGAGGAAACACUUCAUAUCUCAGAGCCUUAUGACCUGUUAGAGGAAACUAAGCCCCAGAAACCCCUGCCAGGGGCAACUGCUUCCUUAGGUCCUUUCUCCACCCCCUGUUACCCCAAGAUGCAAGAGGAAUACAUGAGGCUGUCUGAUGUUUUCAGAUUCUACUGCAAUGUGUACGGCCCUGGCGAGGACACUAAAGCUUCCGCUGCUGCCCCUGCUGCUGCUCCACUCUCUUUUUUGCUUGCUGUACCUCCUGCAACCAGUGAGUACGUGACUGUUGACCAGCUCUCAGGGAUUCUGGGCAAUGUCAGAGCUGACCUAGGGCUGGCCCCUCCUGCUUCCCCAUUGGGCCAUCCCACUUCAGGUUUCGCCCCUCAAGCUGCUUCGUCUGCAGGCUGCCUUCCUUCUCCUGUGCCACCUCUCUCCUCUUCCUUCAUCUCUGCUGAGAUGGAGAAGCAGCUUCAGGGGGGCCCAGUGCAGCCUUCUGCCCUGGAUUUAGAGAAGUGGUACAUGGCUGGCUUCGAGGCCUCCUCCCCUGCCUCUCCUCACUCCUCCCCUCCUCCUCUUCCUGCUAAAGCUCACUCUUCUCGAAAGCUGUUCCAGGUCUAUCGUGCUAAGAUGGACAGCGACGCCGGCAGCACCCUCCCACGCACAAAGAGCGGGUCUGCAUCAUCCUCACAGCUCAGUGUGGCCACGCUGGGACGCAGCUCCUCCCCAAAGGGUCCCCUGCAACCACAGAAUGGCACAGGUAGCCUGCCACGGAACCUGGCAGCUACACUGCAGGACAUCGAGACCAAACGCCAGCUGGCCCUGCAGCAGAAGGGGCAGCAGGUGAUUGAGGAGCAGAAGCGGCGCCUGGCGGAGCUGAAGCAGAAAGCAGCUGCUGAGGCGCAGUCCCAGUGGGAAGCCCUGCACGGGCAGCCUCACUACCCCCCUUCUUCCUACCCUCCGCUCAUGCAUCACUCCAUUCUCCAUCAUCAUCCUCCCCAUGGCAUCGGGCACCGGGCCGAGGACAUGGACCACGCCUAUGACACCCUCAGCCUGGAGAGCUCAGACAGCAUGGAAACCAGUAUCUCCACUGGUGGCAACUCAGCCUGCUCGCCUGAUAACAUGUCCAGUGCCAGUGGGGUGGAGGCAGUGAAGAUUGAGGAGAUGGAGAAGAUGCUGAAAGAGGCCCAUGCAGAAAAAUCUCGCCUGAUGGAGUCACGGGAGCGGGAGAUGGAGCUGCGGCGACAGGCCCUGGAGGAUGAGCGCAGGCGGCGGGAGCAGCUGGAGCGAAGGCUGCAGGAUGAGACGGCUCAUCGGCAGAAGCUGAUUGAGAAGGAGGUCAAGAUGCGAGAGAAGCACUACUCCCAGGGCGGCGACUGCCAUUGGGGUGGCACUGAUGAGGCUGCGUUGCUUCUCCAGGCACGGCCAUUGACCAGGUAUCUCCCCAUACGCAAGGAGGAUUUUGACUUGAAGACACAUAUUGAGUCCUCAGGCCACAAUGUGGACACCUGCUAUCAGGUCAUCCUGACCGAGAAGAUGUGCAAGGGCUACCUGGUCAAGAUGGGCGGAAAGAUCAAGUCCUGGAAGAAGCGUUGGUUCGUCUUCGACCGUAUGAAACGCACAGUCUCCUACUAUGUCGAUAAACACGAGACAAAGCUCAAGGGAGUGAUCUAUUUCCAAGCCAUAGAGGAGGUUUAUUAUGACCAUCUCCGCAGUGCUGCUAAGAAAGGACUUUUCAACCUCAGCCUAGCAAAUGUAUGUAUCCCGCCCUCUGGGCUCUGCUGUGCCAAGCACUAACCCUGCUUUCACAAUGGGUUCCCAUUAAUCCUUUGCUGCCAGGAGUGCUCUAACCUGCUUUGUGUUGGUACUAACACCUGAACUCUCAGGCUGCCAGUCCUGGGACCAGGGGACUCUGGGGUUCAGGUGCAGCCAGAACCAGCCUUGUUCCUUCAGAAAGCAGGGUGCGCUCAGCCACCUGUCUCUCUAACCUAACCACACCAGCCCACCCCCUUUCCCUCACUCCCUUUCCAAAACCCCUCUUCCUGGGGGAUGGGUGCCUUGAGGCAAUAAAGUAGCUGAAGCUGCAAGUGCCCUUGGAGUCCCUGGGGAGUGAUGAUGCAGGCUUUCCAGGGGUGAAGGCCCUUUCCAUUCCUGGAACCUUGCAGCAGCUAGCUCCAUCAGCACUGAAUAAGCUGCUGGUUCAUCAGGUGCCUGUUCCCCUCUUGCUAUAAACGUAGCUGAGCUCUGGGGGCCCCCAAUCACUGGACGAGCAAGGGCCAAACUCAGUGUGUUUUUAACAUGCGACUUUCACCCGAGAGGAGAAAUUUCUCAGUUUAAAACCAAGGUUUUGAAAGCUACUAGUGGCACGGUGAUGAAGCAGGGCUGCACUGCUCUCUGUGCAGCCAGGAGACAGCAGGUGUUAAACCCAAACAUUACAGUUUUGCUGGCUGGCUUUAAAAUUAAUAACAAGUGUGGAAAAAUAGCUACCAGUGUACACCUUUGAAUCCCAGCAGCCUUCAUAUGGCGCCAAAGGAGAAAUUUCAGCUGGAAUCUGCUACGGGGAAAUGAGGAAAAUGGAUCUAAAGUAUCUGGGAGUACGUCGUGGAGGGGCAGUAGCAAGAGCCAGCACGAUUUUAUCUGAAGAUAAUGCAGCCUGCUGCUGGAACCAGCAAGUGACCCCUUGAAGAUCAAGAAGCUGCCACCGCUGUUGGGCUGAAGGGAGGGCAGUGCGACUCCAGGAGCAGGCAUGACUAGGCCCUGAGCCGCCUGCCAGUGGAAUUGAUCAAAAAGUCUUGCUGGCCUCUGACAGAGCUGGAAAGUCCCAUAUGCUGCAGAAGGGGAACGUCUCUUUACUUGCACUGUAAUUCCAUGCUGGCAUCAUGGGGGGGAACCCUUUCCAGCACUGUCUUCCCUGAGGCUGCCUAUAGCUGCAGUGGGAGUGUCUGGCUGACGUUGACAGCUUUCUGAAUGAAAUGAGAGUGACUUUUCAGACUCCUGGUGUAGUGGAGCAGAGUUCAGAUACUCAAGGCUGGGGUUACAGAAGAAUCACAUCCAAGCCUGAGGGACGACCAUCAUGUAUCAGGCCUUUGCAUCGCUGUGAAACACUCAGACUUUGAAAUCCCACAAGACUGGCUCCAGGUCUUCAUUCUUCUGAGGCCACUUCAUUGAGUUCCAUGCAGGUCACUUCAUGGGGGUGCGUGUCUUGGAUGAGAUCUUGAAGCUGAAGAGCCAUUCCAUUCUGCCUGGACCUGCAUCUGCAAACAUCAUGCCUACCGUUUCUGCCUUCUUCUCUCUGCCUCAUUGCAGAGAACAAGGGAAAUCAGGGCAGGGAUGAGUCCAGAAGACAGCAAAGCCAUGUCUGAGGAGAGCAUGGUGGCAAGGAACUGCUAUGGCAACAACCCAGAGGAAUAUGGAUGUCCCUGCUUCUCCUUGGGGAGCCUGAACAGCAUUUCCCCAGCUGGAGAAGACAGGACUAGGGAGGUGGUAAUAAGAACUGGCUGGUGGAAGGAGGCGGGGCUCUCACCUGGAGCCCAAGGAAGGAAGUCAAACGAAGGGAGACAGAGUUUGAACCCAGGGUUCACUACAGCCUGCCUAGGCUUGGGGCUUACCAGAAUGGGCUGUGCUUCAGGUCUCUGUACUGCCUUCAGGGUUGCCUAUGUGGAGUUCCAGCUGACUAAUCAAGCCAACAGUUUGGACAACGCUAUGGGAGUAUCAAUGCAAACGCUUGGCGACGUAUCGCAAUGUACAUUCAUCCCUGAGGAGCCUAUGAGUCUCUGGCAAGGCUCUGCCUUGGGUGGACUCACUGAACAGAGCUCACGGGGUGAGGCAGGAGUGCUGCAGGCCCACAGGUCCAGCCUAAGGAGAUGGUGAAACUGUGUGGCUUGCCCUAGUAGGAGAGCGAGCCUGGCACACUGAAGGGGUUCCUCCUAGAGUCCAUUCCAAAGGUGAGGCCAUAGCAGUGAUCCUAUGGAUCUGUGACCCCCUUUAUCCAGUGCUUACCAUGCUCAUCUGUGAUGGGGGGGACCCUGCUUCAAUAUCCCCUCUGCCUGGUUAGUAGAAAGGAUGAGAAGAGGGAUCUUGACUGCCCAGGUGAGUGCUCUAAGCUAUGGGCCACAGAAAUGGGGGGACUGCUCUCAUGCUUGCCUCUUGAAGCUGUUCUACUUGAGUUAACU